AUUGAAAGUUGUAGUAUGCGGUCCUUGCGGCUGAGAGCA
rnacentral:misc_RNA from 1 species